rnacentral:lncRNA from 1 species
GGGAUGGACCUGUUCGCACUGAAGAUUAAAAAGGGAUGGAAACAAGGCCUGCUUCCAACUGUUGCACUGGAGACUAAAUGAGUUCGUGGACUGUACUAAGAACCUGAAACAAGGCCAGGGAAAGGAGGAUCACUGGGAAGGUCUAUUCUCAUUAAUCCAAGAGGCCAGGCCAAGGGCAUCCCCAAGACCUCAGAGCAUGCCUUGAGAGUGGUUUCUGAGGAUGACAAGGCACAAUGCAUCCGGCAGCCACAGCGGGAGAGCCAAGCGUGUCGGCCAUUAUGCUGCCAUCAAUAGCUGUCGAUGUCACGGCUUUGGAACCUCCUGCCUUAGACACCAGAAUCUCAUGGUGAAUUUCACCCCCAUGAGCGCUGGAGCAUUCAAGAAACAAGGAAAGAAGGUCCUCCUGAAGGGGAAGAUUUUCCUGAAAAGGUGGAUGAAUAUGGCUUGGCAUCCUUCAGCUGACCUACUUUCCCUGGACCAGGCUGACACCUUGCCCCUACUGGAAUCUGGAAUUGAAGAAAGAAGAGGUACACAGGGAAAAUGCCACAUGACAACAAAGGCAGAGCUUAAAGUGACGCAGCCAAGGAUUAUCCGCCAGAAACUGGAAGAGGCAAGGAAGGAUCAGGAUUGUACCAUCCAGGCUUCACAGAAAGGAAGGCCCUAAAGACGCC